rnacentral:misc_RNA from 1 species
GAAAUAUCGUUAUCUCCCCAUACAUCAACAACUCCACUGACAACAACCAUUAGUACGACAACAACAGCAACAAAAAUACAUUCAUCAACAACAACAUCCCCGUCAACAUCAACAACAGUGCAAUCAUUACCAACAAUUAAACCAUCAUCAACAACAAAACAACCAACAACCUCAUCAACAACAAUGCAACCAAUAACAACAACGCCAGCGUUAACAACAAAAACAAUAGAAUCAGCAACGACAAAACAACCUACAACAAUGCUACCAUCAUCAACAACUCAACCAUCUACAACAAAACAACAAACAACAACCACAACACCAUCAUCAACAACGACAACGCAAUUAGCUGCAACAUCUCCUACAACAACAAGUUCAGCGACAACAACAGCCAUACAUCCUUGUAUGAAUUCUACAUAUCUAUCAACAAUUUUAUCCCAAGCAAGCUGUAUUGCCGACUCAAAUAAAUUAGAAGAGGUCAAAAGAGCAUCGGAUGAGGUUAAAUGCAAUUAUAUUUCUUCCAUCGUUGCCUGUGUCUUGGAAGGAGUACGAUCAGAUAUUGGUAUCACAUGUUCCGACAAACAGAAAAUAGUCGCCCUAUACGAGAUCGAGGAAUUAGGCCUAUCCUACCUCAGCAUUGAUCCCAAAACAUGUGAUUUGUCGGCCAACAUCUCAACGACCCAGACGACAACACCAGCAGGGACAACAUUGUCAGGAGCAACGACAUCAACAACAAAAACAGUUUUACUGGGGACAACAACAAUGACAACAGUGACGAACAAUAUAAAAACAACAACUGCACCGAUGACAACAACAACGACAACAACAACACCGAUGACAAUAACAAUGACAACUUCAACUCCCAUGACUACAUCAACACCGAUGAAAACAACAACAACAACACCAGUGACAACAACAAUAAACCCCUGUACAAAUUCUACCUAUCUUUCCUCAACAUUACUCUCCCAUUGUCUCGACUACAAUCAAUUAGCAGCAGUCAGAUCUGCUUCGGAUGAGGUUAAAUGCAACUUCAUUCUAUCUGCUGUUGAUUGUGUCUUGGAGAAAAUACGAUUAGAUUUUGGGAUCACCUGUACUGCCGAACAUAGAGUGGCCGCUCUGGAUGAGUUCUCGGGAAUAGUUCAAACCUAUCUCGAAGUCGACCCUAAAACCUGUUAGCUGGUCUUACAGACUGUUGAUAUUAUACGGCGAGAGAUGAUAUUAUAUGGUGAAAGUAUGUACAGAAUCAGUUUACUAUUGACUAUUCUUGUAUAGUUAAAAAAUUUACCUACUUACCAACUUACCUACCUAUGCACAUGCGUAUUAAUGCCGGAAUCUCCCAGCCCUCGGCAGAAGUUGCAAGAUCUUGAAUAAGCCUACGACUGUUUCAUUUUUCUGGAAUGGUAACCAAAAAAAAAACCCUCAGUGAAAAUUGAUGUGUAAUUUUAACAUUUUCAGAAAAAAAUGUUCUUAUAAUUAUGUGCUAUGUAACGAACUGAAUGCAAACUGUUUAUUGAUGAAUCAAAGGCUCGUUGUCAAAAGGAUAAAGCGAGAGCCGAACUGUUGCAGAAUGCUACAAGCAUAAUGUUUAUUAUUAUGCUUAUUUAUGAUAAUAAAAUAAUUUCUGUUGAC